AUAGGCAGGUAGCAAAUCCUCAGGGAACACUGACUGAAUGAACCCAUAACUCAAUGGCCACAGGCCUGGACAGGGAGAGGGCCAAAGGGGUCUGAAGCUGCUGGGUGAAUGAGAACAUCCUUUGACUUUGAUGCAAAAGUCACCGGCACUUCCCAGCCUCCUGUGGCACCACCAGGCCUCCAGGGACACCACUGCCCUCUAAAGUGCUGUCGCAAUGAGAGAAACUCUCUAGGUCUGUUCCAGAGAACACGGCUGAGGCCACUGGAGCUUGCCCCCUCUGUGAUUUGCUAGUGAGAUAUCUGACUGGAAAAGUGGUCCCUGUCUGUGUGAUUCUGGUGCAUGCUUCAAAAGGCUGGGACCUCAAAAGCAGCGAUGACUCGAUAGCCCAGGGAAGGAAGAACUCACUGUACAAAACAAGACUGAGCAUGGAAAACAAGAGGACUGCACAGUCAACCACCAAAGUGAUUUGAAAUCGGGUAAAUUGCAAAGAUAGGAGCUCAAAUAUGGACUUAGAGAAGGGACACCGUGGCCCACAGUGACCCAGCUCAUCACUGCCUGAUGCUGAUGCUCCAUGGAGUCCUAGCACAGCUGACACUGGGAGGCGGAUAGGGCACCUCUGUCCAGCCUCGCCCAGCCCAGCCCUGUCUGCUCCACUUGGCCGUCCUACAUCACACUCAGUAAGGUCAGUGUCUACAGAAACCCACACCAGCUUGUUCUCAAACAACAGCGACGCUUGGCCAAGUAGAUACCACUGUGUGCAGCUUAUUCUCGUCUCUGCUUGUUUCAGAAGUGCCGAGUAGAAGGAAUAGUUAACUUCCCUAAAAAUCCAGACGACAGCUUUAUCCUUAUUGACAAAAACUACUUGUUUAUAGCCAAUGGUUGGUCCGAUACGGUUGCUGGGAAAUAGAAAUCUAUGAAGGGAUCAGCAGGUGUUCAGUAAAUAUUUGCCGAGUGAAUUAAUGCAUUAAUUAAUUCACCUUUCUACACCAAAUAUUCACAAUGCAAGG